rnacentral:ncRNA from 2 species
CUAGAAUGGCAAGCUUGCAGUGCGAGGAAGUCGGUGAAAACCCGGCACGGUCGCGCCACUGUGAGCGUGUGUGCCGAUGCGGCGCGCGCGCGAGUCAGACCCUCGCUGCAUUCUUUCCUUCCUC